AUUGAACGCUGGCGGCAGGCCUAACACAUGCAAGUCGAACGGUAACAGGAAGAAGCUUGCUUCUUUGCUGACGAGUGGCGGACGGGUGAGUAAUGUCUGGGAAACUGCCUGAUGGAGGGGGAUAACUACUGGAAACGGUAGCUAAUACCGCAUAACGUCGCAAGACCAAAGAGGGGGACCUUCGGGCCUCUUGCCAUCGGAUGUGCCCAGAUGGGAUUAGCUAGUAGGUGGGGUAACGGCUCACCUAGGCGACGAUCCCUAGCUGGUCUGAGAGGAUGACCAGCCACACUGGAACUGAGACACGGUCCAGACUCCUACGGGAGGCAGCGGUGGGGAAUAUUGCACAAUGGGCGCAAGCCUGAUGCAGCCAUGCCGCGUGUAUGAAGAAGGCCUUCGGGUUGUAAAGUACUUUCAGCGGGGAGGAAGGGAGUAAAGUUAAUACCUUUACUCAUUGACGUUACCCGCAGAAGAAGCACCGGCUAACUCCGUG
rnacentral:rRNA from 1 species